CUUAGAUCAUGUGCUAACAAGACGGAGAUUUUUGGACAUAAAUGAUGAGCUUUUUUGAACAAAACUACAUUCGUUAUGGACCUGUGAUACCUGGAAGUGACAUCUGAUGAAGAGAAUCAAAGAGGGUUAUGGUGUAGGGGUUACCGACUGACCAUCAUCAACAUCGCUGACUUCGGGGUCAAGCAAAAGCGACUGAACGGAGGAAGCGACUGAACGGAGGAAGCAACGCAAGUCAAUGCAAUGGAGCUUGAGAUGACAUCUUCAUCCCUGAAAAGGUUUUCAUCCUGGAGGAGACAGUUCAGGAGGCAGAGGAGGAAAGAAUGGUUAUUACAGCAUGACAAACUGACCCCUGGAUGCCAGAGUGUUCCUGUGCUGCGGUGGAAAAGAGGUCCACAGGGACCAUCACUAAAGAGCUCGGGGCCCAGUUAGAUUGAGCUCACAACCAUCAGUAUAUAACCGGGUCCUGUAUACUGAUACUGAGUCCCCUAUACGCCACAGAUGGAGCAGACGGAGAGGGAGAUCAAUGAAGACCAUAACUCGCUGUAUGAACCUGAGAGCUCAGAAUCACAAUCACCACAGUGCGAGCCAAGAUAUGCU
rnacentral:lncRNA from 1 species